GAGUUUGAUCAUGGCUCAGGAUGAACGCUGGCGGCGUGCCUAAUACAUGCAAGUCGAGCGAACGGACGAGAAGCUUGCUUCUCUGAUGUUAGCGGCGGACGGGCGAGUAACACGUGGAUAACCUACCUAUAAGACUGGGAUAACUUCGGGAAACCGGAGCUAAUACCGGAUAAUAUUUUGAACCGCAUGGUUCAAAAGUGAAAGACGGUCUUGCUGUCACUUGUAGAUGGAUCCGCGCUGCAUUAGCUAGUUGGUAAGGUAACGGCUUACCAAGGCAACGAUGCAUAGCCGACCUGAGAGGGUGAUCGGCCACACUGGAACUGAGACACGGUCCAGACUCCUACGGGAGGCAGCAGUAGGGAAUCUUCCGCAAUGGGCGAAAGCCUGACGGAGCAACGCCGCGUGAGUGAUGAAGGUCUUCGGAUCGUAAAACUCUGUUAUUAGGGAGAACAUAUGUGUAAGUAACUGUGCACAUCUUGACGGUACCUAAUCAGAAAGCCACGGCUAACUACG
rnacentral:rRNA from 1 species